rnacentral:rRNA from 1 species
ACUCCUACGGGAGGCAGCAGUGGGGAAUAUGCACAAUGGCAGGCAGCAUGCAUGCAGCCAUGCCGCGUGUAUGAAGAAGGCCUUCGGGUUGUAAAGUACUUUCAGCAGUGAGGAAGGUAGUGUAGUUAAUAGCUGCAUUAUUUGACGUUAGCUGCAGAAGAAGCACCGGCUAACUCCGUGCCAGCAGCCGCGGUAAUACGGAGGUG